CCGAUUCUUCGGAUGAAGGUUUUUGUGACUGAGUGGCGGACGGGUGAGUAACGCGUGGGUAACCUGCCUCAUACAGGGGGAUAACAGUUAAAAAUGACUGCUAAUACCGCAUAAGACCACGGAGCCGCGUGGCUCAGUGGGAAAAACUCCGGUGGUAUGAGAUGGACCCGCGUCUGAUUAGGUAGUUGGUGGGGUAACGGCCUACCAAGCCAACGAUCAGUAGCCGACCUGAGAGGGUGACCGGCCACAUUGGGACUGAGACACGGCCCAAACUCCUACGGGAGGCAGCGGUGGGGAAUAUUGCACAAUGGGGGAAACCCUGAUGCAGCGACGCCGCGUGAGCGAAAGAAGUAUUUCGGUAUGUAAAGCUCUAUCAGCAGGGAAGAAAAUGACGGUACCUGACUAAGAAGCACCGGCUAAAUACGUGCCAGCAGCCGCGGUAAUACGUAUGGUGCAAGCGUUAUCCGGAUUUACUGGGUGUAAAGGGAGCGUAGACGGCUGUGUAAGUCUGAAGUGAAAGCCCGGGGCUCAACCCCGGGACUGCUUUGGAAACUAUGCAGCUAGAGUGUCGGAGAGGUAAGUGGAAUUCCCAGUGUAGCGGUGAAAUGCGUAGAUAUUGGGAGGAACACCAGUGGCGAAGGCGGCUUACUGGACGAUGACUGACGUUGAGGCUCGAAAGCGUGGGGAGCAAACAGAAUUAGAUACCCUGGUAGUCCACGCCGUAAACGA
rnacentral:rRNA from 1 species